UUCAGAGGCACGUGCUCACUGACAUGUAAGCCAUGGCUAUCUAACUGACCAAUAGCUAAUCGAUCGAUCCGGCCAUAAACAGUGACUUCAGCAACUUGUAAUAUUUUCAAAAAUAAACA